UACGAAGGGGGCUAGCGUUGCUCGGAAUCACUGGGCGUAAGCGCACGUAGGCGGGUUGUUAAGUCGGGGGGUGAAAUCCUGGAGCUCAACUCCAGAACUGCCUUCGAUACUGGCGACCUUGAGUCCGGGAGAGGUGAGUGGAACUCCGAGUGUAGAGGUGAAAUUCGUAGAUAUUUCGGAAGAACACCAGUGGCGAAGGCGGCUCACUGGCCCGGUACUGACGCUGAGGUGCGAAAGCGUGGGGAGCAAACAGG
rnacentral:rRNA from 1 species